UACGAAGGGUGCAAGCGUUAAUCGGAAUUACUGGGCGUAAAGCGCGCGUAGGCGGCUUUGCAAGUCGGGUGUGAAAUCCCCAGGCUUAACCUGGGAACUGCAUUCGAGACUGCAUGGCUAGAGUAUGGGAGAGGGAAGUGGAAUUUCAGGUGUAGCGGUGAAAUGCGUAGAUAUCUGAAGGAACAUCAGUGGCGAAAGCGACUUCCUGGACCAAUACUGACGCUCAUGUGCGAAAGCGUGGGGAGCAAACAGG
rnacentral:rRNA from 1 species